GGAAGUGAUAGGAGCGAGCCCAAAAGAGAAAGAGAGCGAGAGACCGAGAGAAGGGGGCCAAGGAGCUAGCGAGCGAGCGCUGGCAGGAUGUUGUCUCCUGGAGCGGCACUGCAGGAGAAGUAUCGCCAGUGCUUGGAGAACAAUUUCCACCAGGGCCACACUGGCAUCUGCACUGACUCGUCCCUGAAGGAGCGGAUGUGGCGGCAACUGCUGGAGGAUCCAGAAGUUCACAGUGCUCUGAGAGGGGAGGACACCUUCGCCAUGCUUGCCGCGGCCCUGAGAGGACAGCUGGAUCUGGGACUGGCGCUCCAGAAUCUUGGCCGGGCCUUUGAGGUGCUGGAGCUGGCAGCCAUCAAUCUUUACUUCUUCCCCUGGCGCAAGGAAUUUGGAACCAUAAAAACUUUCUCAGGUGUUUACGUGCACGUCCUCCAGGGAGUCCUGCCUGAGGCCGAAAUCACCAGGAGUUUCCGCCGGCUGGGCUACAUCCCGAGAGACAGCCUCCACCUGGUCAUUGCCCAGCUGCCCCCGAGUGCCAGCCUCCUCACUGCAGCCUGCUGCUUUUUUGCAGCCAGGGUCGAGUGCGAGAUCCUGGGGAAGAUCGUGCAGGAGCUGGAGCCGUACACCGCUUCACCUGAAGAUCUUCUCCAGGCCCGCAGGGAAGCCAAAGGCAGCCUGGAGAACUGUGUGGCCAAAUUGCAGAGCCUGGUGCGAUGGCCUAGGGGCAGAGAUUUCCGUGUGGAGCCAGCUGAUGCGAUAGACCUGUACAGGGAGGGUCCGGAAGGGCAGGGCCCGUAUGGUGACCCUUUGGGACCUAGGUUGCCAUUGUCAUCGCAGCAGCAGCAGCCCAUCCCCCUCUGCGAGCGCAGCAGCCCCCGGUUGCGGAGCAGAGAGCAGCACUUCCAGAGUCCGCAGGGGCUUGCGGAGAACAGGAGCAAGAUGUGGGUGCUGGGCCCGGAGGAGCCACCAUACGGCAACGGGAUCCCAGCCUCGGAGGGCCCCGAUCUGGAGACCUCCUUCUCCUUUAUCUCCCUGCGGCGGGAGCUUAGCAGAACUUCGGAAGCGGACUACCCCACGCCUCCGGGAAGCCGCUUCUUGUCUCCCAGCCCUCACUACGACAGCCCUGGCGGCCCCCAGCUCCACCGGGGCAGCAGCCCAGCCUCUCCCUCAGCAAGGCAGCCAAGGAGCCCCCAGCUGAGCCCCACGGGGAUGCGCCGAGCUCCGGUGCCAGGUCCAGGGAUGUCCCCGACAGAGCCGCCGCGCUAUCACCUGCAUUCGUGCAUGCACCCGGGCACCCUCCCGGCCUCCUGCUGCAACACCUGCAGGCUGCUGCACGGCGGCAGCUGCGACGGAGCGCAGGUCUGCCGGAGCAGCCACCACAUGGAAGAGCUGCAAAGCGAGAAGCAGCAGCGCCUCUGGCUGCAGAGGACAGAGGUGGACAAGCUGCUGCACGAGGGGGUGCCAGGAGUCUGGCAAUAGCGCACGCUGGGAAAACCCACCAGGGCAUCAACCGGACCUUGGACAGAAAAGCUGCUUCCUCUGCAGUUCUGAGGCUUCAUCUAGAACUGCACACACAGCCUGCUUUUUGUCUCCCCUCUCCCAGGUCUUCCCUCUCCCAAUUUUCUGAAAAACACUUAUUUUUGUUUCAGAGGAAAAAACAGCCAGACACUCUUUUCAGCAUACAUUCUUUUCCCGACCAACAGGACUUUUCUCAAAUCCUAAAUAUUUUGAGGAUUUAGGUGAACAAAUUUGUGGGGGUGGGAGGAUCCAGUCCUAAACAGUCUCCCGCAGUAGUGUUUGCUGGACAGCAAAGCAAUAUCACAGAUCUAGCAAAAGGAUUCUGCUUGAGCCUUCAUUUGAAGCUGCUGCUGCUGCUUGACUGUCCAUAACAAGUGGGUGAAUUUUCAGCAGUGGAGAAGAGCAAGAACUUGAAUACGCUGCUGUGCUCCAGAGACACUCCCAUUUUCACCUCUGAAUCAGAAAGGAAGGCCUUCAAAAGCUCACUGGACCAAGAAGGGAUAUAUGCUUAUGUGUUUGCUACAAUAGAGAUGCGAAGAGGUUGAAGUCCCUGAUCUUCCAACCCUCACCCACGGUAAGUUGCUAAGCAGAGCUUGACGCACAGAACAAGCAGUGCAUGCAGGUAGGGAUGCAAAACAGUGUGGGAGUUAAAGGUGCCUGAGCAUCUCUAAAUGCAGAGGUGCUGCUGUUGCUGCCUAGGAACUUCCCUCCACUAUAUAUAAGGCUGCCUCCUAGGGAUCUGGCAUCUCCCUCCCCACCCUCCCAGUCCUUCUGCUAAGGCUCACAGCAGCUUUAGUAUUCACCCUCCAGGUACACUACUGGUACUCAAAGACGGCAGUGGUAAAAGACUUUAUUGAGACACAGUCCUGGUUCAGUCUUGGGUUUUGCCCGCAAAGAAGAGACCUGGAAGCUGUAUGCCGGCUCCCUCAGCCAAUAAAACGAGAUGAGCGCCGCAACCCCAGAGUCAUCUGCAACUGGACCUAAUGGUCGGGGUCCCUUUACCUUUAAGGGGCUACUAUUUGGGCCCUGCUCUUUCCAUCAGGGAAGAGUUGAGCUGAUAAUUCAGGAGCUUCGGUGCAGCUUGGCAAGCUAGCUCCCAGUUGGUAAUCAGUGUCUCCCAGCAGGGGCAGCUGAUUCCUAUGAAGAACAUGGGAGCUGUCACGACACCCUCUGUAGGCUCCUGGCUCUCUGUCCCGACGUGCCUGGCAGCAGCCAGCACUGCCUCUCUUCAAGCUCUGCCCUUUCAAAGAGAAACAGAAGUACCACAAUUGUUUCAGAUUUGUUUCUUUGCAUUCAGGCGACAGCACUCCUGCAACCAUGGAGUUGGGAGGGGCUGGAAAGGUUAUCCAGUCCCAAACCCUGCCAGUGCAGGAAACCCCCUUCUAGGGCAUCGGUGGUCUCUGCUUAAAAACCUCCCUGAACAUUCCCUAAGCAUCAUUUGCUUUCAGUCCAGUAUUUCAAAGGUGUUUUCAAAGACUUCAUGCUAUUCGUAUGCCCCUUUUGUUUUAGCAAGGGCUUCAGUGCAACCUGCUUCCUGAUCCCAGAGCAUGCCAUACUCCUACCAUUCAUCAGCUAAUGGGUGGCUUGAACACACUUUGCUUCAGCAAAGGAACAAUCGGUAGCUUCCUUUAACAGCCUAUCGUUCCUUUGAAGCCACAUUGGUAGCUGCUUCAGGUGUGGAGCAGGUGGGCAUGGUUUGCUAGGAGCAGCAUGGUAGGCCAAAGUUGGCCCAUGGGCCACAAAUUCCGUGCCCUGCUUUCAGCUUCCUGUGGUCACAGCUGUUUGAAAGCACAUGGGAGACAUAAACAGCAGAGAAUAGUGGAGCAGCUACAGCUUCAUAAGACUCCUAGCUGGCUAUAUUUCUAGGUUAGUGGUGGGGAACCCACAGUCCACAGGUCUAAUUAGGCCAAGCCUCCACACCUGAUGAAGCCACAUUCUCCUGCAUUGCACCUGAGAACAUAUAUUGCAUCUGGUGUCAGGUACGUACAGACAUGGCCAGGCUGAAAUGGGGUUUGAUGUCCCAGGUUCAAUUCCUGGUGUCUGGAGGUAGAGCUGGGAGACAGCUCUGCUUGAAAUCCCUGGAAAGCUGCUGCCAAUCAGUGUAGAGUAGACAAUACAAUAGAUGGACCAAUGGUGUGGCUCGGUAUAAGGCAGCUUCCACUGUUGUUAAGUACACUUUACUCCAGCCCACGCCUGUCCUUACCGGGAGCAGUGUCAUCCUCAGGGCCGACUGCGCUUGCCUGUGCACUCUACACUGGGGGCGGCCCUCUUGUUGCGAUGGUGUGGGAAGGUUGGCAUGAGCUCUGGCUCGCAGGCUGGAAAAAGAGGGAGAAGAUGAAUCAGGUUGUGGCAGCAGCCCUGAGUGUGGGGAAAGGAAGCUACAAGAGACUUACGUAAAGGCUUCUCCUUGAAGUAGGAGCUCUCCAGGCAGUCGCCAGCUGUCGCUCUGAAGAGGAAGAGACACGUGAAAGCGAGGGGUGAAUUCACCUGCCACUUGCUUAUCCCUCUAUUCCACCCACAAAUUUCUGGCUUAGGAAGGCUGUUCUCCUGCAGCAGCUCCACUCUUCCUUCCUGAAUGUGCCUCUGCCAAGCCAAGGGCUCUGGCCAGAGGAGAUCACAGGAGCAAUCGAAGACAAGCGAGCAGGCGCCCACCUUACAGCUAGCUCAUUUAUUCAGGGAUGCAGCUAGUCUCUCCCGGGCAAGGAAGGGCUCACAUCCAAGAACCUGUGCCUUGUACAGUUGCACUAAUAUUACAUGCGGGAUCCAAUCCAUCCUGCUCACGAUUCUGAUUUCCUGUUGUGACUACCUGCUGUAGCUCAUCCCCGUAUGCUGUCUCUGAACCUGCUUUCAACUGCUCUGUCCUCCAAGUUAAUUCAUUCCUUUGGAAAGCUGCAGGAGCACUCCACAGGUUAACUGUGCCAGCACAUAAAGCUGCUGCUUUUGUGUCUCUCAUAACCUUGCUGCUGAUUGGUUUAGGUGCAUGACCCUAACAGCUUCUGUAUUUUGACCGGGGGAUGGAGAAAACACUUCUGCCCUGGCUAAAUUCUAGUUGCCCUUUUCUAACUCUACCUGUCGGGAGGGGUCAAUCAGAAUGGCGAAACAGAAGCCCCAAAGGCAGGCACAUCGCAACAACGUUGGCCUCUUUCCCAGCCUGGGCCCGGUUACCUUUUCUUGGGAUCGUACAUGAAGAGAAAGUUGAGGAGGCGAAGGCCAGCCUCCGACAGCCACGGGAACUUGUGCUUCAGGUUAUUGUACGGCUGCUUGCGCAGGGUGUACUGGCUCACCAGUGGCAGCUUGGAGAAGCCCUGGAGGUGAGAGGGACACAAAGGAAGGCACUAAAUAAAUCAUUUGCCUCUAACAUAUGGCUUAACUUGCUUGCAGGAGCCAUCUAAAGAAGGGAUAACCGGGGAUGGGGAGGGAGGAUGGAGAGGCACAUGCUAAGACCAACAAAUCUUGAUUUUACCAUUAUAUUGUACUGUAAGCUAGUUCCUACAUACACUCACACUACUUUCUAUCCAUCCAGGCAUGAAGGCAUCAGAGUUCAAGGACCCAUUUCAGCCAGCUAAAAUUCAAGGAAGGUGCAAAGCAGAGCUGGUGAAGGGUGUGACCUGGGAAAAGUGGGUGUGACCUGGGGAAAGUCUUAAGGGCCAGAUAGAGAGACUUGGAGGAGCACAUUUGAUCCUCGAAGCCUGAUGUCCCCCAUCCCUGAUCUAAUGCUACAGCCUCUCAACAGUGCACCUGAUCUCCUCGUAUCUUACUGCAGCCUGCAUUGCAUGGGUUGAUGGGGGUCAGGCUGCGGAUAAGCAGCCAUGCCUUUGCAUAUGAUAUUGGGCCAGAGGACCUUUCCACCACCUGCUGUGCUGCAACACUAAGGAAAGGCCACAUAAGAAGAGGCACAAAGGGGCAAAACCCAAGCAGGAGGAGGGAGCAACAAAGCAGAGGUGGGAUGAGGUCUGGGGAGUACUCACUGGCCAGAUGGUCUCGUUGGGCGUGCCCAGAAGCUGCACAAUCAUGUCUAUCUGCUGGAUCUCAGAGCUCCCAGGUAGCAACGGCUUAUGAGCCAGCAGCUCUGCCAGGAUGCAACCCACUGCCCUGCAGGGAAGACUCACAGUUAACACGGAGAGGCUAGCAGCUAUUCCCUCCACCCUCUCAGGCCUAGGAAAAACCAAUUUGUCCACAGAGCCAUGAAUCCAGGCCCUCAACAGAUGCAUUUUUCCUUUCUGUCCUCCUAAUCCCCACAUUAGGUGUGGGGGAUGGAGGAAAGGAGACGUCUUCUUCCCUCACCACAUAUCUAUGGCGGUGGUCUGUGUUAUUGUCCCCAGAAGCAGCUCAGGGGCUCGGUACCUGGAAAAGAGGGGAGAAAGUGUCCCAGGGAAGGUCAAUGUCAGCUUGCAUUGUGAUGCUAGAAUUCUGUAAUUUGAAUUCAGCAGACAACGGGCAUUUCCUUAAUCGGAAAAAGAGGAGUCUUCCUGUUGCAAUAGCCCCACACCUUUUUUGUCCCUGAGGGCUGCACUUGGUAUUGGGGUGGCAGCGGGGGGGAGGGGAAAUCUCACAUACACACCUUCCUCUUUCUCACACAAGAGGCAGAAGAUGCACAAACAGAAUCUCAAUGAUCCCCUUUGCACAUGUUCCUCCUCCCUGCUCCCAGGCCUAAGGGCAGCUAAUCUCCCUUCAGCCUGUCACAGGUAGCCAAGUGAUAAUGAGGGCCCCGAGUGACCAACAGUGGGACACAGGGAAAGACUGCACAUCUUGCAGGUUGCCCACCUGCUUCCCUCGUCACAUUAAAACUUAGCUAAAAGAAACCUCUUGUUAAAUGUGCUGCUGCUCUAAAGUCCAAUUUUGUUCCUCGUCUGCUGCUGGCAGCUCUAGGAGCAACAAACCCUAAGCCUUGGCUUGCUCUUGUCUGAACCAAGGCUUGUGGUUUGUUUCUCUCCAAAUAAACCACAAGUGUCAAGUGGAAGCCAAAGUUUGUGCCUGACCCAUGAGUCCAGGUCUGCACAUAAAGGCAAGCCAGAUGCUGUUUUUGCCCUCCCCAGUGCUGUGGGAGAUGGGGAGGAGGAAACUGCAUAAUUCUCAUAAUUCUUAGCAGUGGGCACCAGCACACUGCUUGAUCACCUUAAACCAUUGCUUAUUUUUAAGCAGGGUUUUAAUGCUUUCUGAAUCAGGCCCCUAUAUGUGUCAAGAGCAGAAACUCUUGUCCUGCUUUGACUCUGAUCUCAAUCACAUUUCCUAAGUACAUAUGCCAGGAAGGUGUGGAGUCUUCUUUCUAUGAGCUCCAUUGCCAUGCCUUCCCCAGGCAAUUAUUUUGAGUUGGUUGCUGUCAAGGUUUAUUGUGACUACUCUUGAGUAACGACCAUCCACAUGCUUGUCUUUCAGACGUUUUUAUUGGUGCACAUUAUUUACAGUGUAACGGAUUGCUCAUUUCAUGUCUACACGCUCGAGUCAGAUUCCUGCACUAAUUCCUUCCGUGUUCGCGACCAGCAUAAAAGCCUCGGAACUGAGAAGCGCCUCCCUUUCCUCCUCUUUCUCAAUUCCGGCAUAGGAGGGACGGGUCUUCUAUCUGACCUAUUCCUGUCCUCUCUUCCUGCCUAUGGAGCAGGGGCUCUUUAGUGUUGCCAGAGCCCUGGCACUCCCUUUCCGUUUCCUGACUCACCCCUUCAGACCCCUUGCUCUCAUGACUGCUUGGAGACGGGCUGCUUCUGAUGGGGGGGUUCUCUAUAAUCCCUCCCCCUCACAGUUGGGUAUCAAAACCAUAAAGAAGCAGCCUAUCAGUGAAAGCAAAGCCCCUUUCCUCUUUAACCCUCGCGCAAAGGUAGUGAUUGUGCAGGAGUGUUGAUUAGUCAAGGGAUGCUCAGAGUCUACUCACCAGAGUGUGACAACUUUGGGAGUCAUUGGCUUCAGGGGGACCCUGUAAGCACGAGCCAACCCAAAGUCCGCUGCAAGAAAAGAGGAGACACUCAAGGUCAAAGGGCAGGUCCAACUGCAUUACAAACCAAUUGGGUAUGUGUCUGUGAUGGUGGAAGUCAUCAAGGGAAGCCAGAUGUUGGCCAAACGCUCACCCGUUUUUACACAACCUUUGUCAGUCAUGAGCAAGUUGGAUACCUUCAGGUCCCUGUUGUUGGAGGAAAGAGAGGUUCACCAGGGGACAGACAAAACCAAGUGCAGCCCUUCCCCAAAUCCUGCUCCCUUAAGCAGCCUCUCUCCCACACUGACAUGGAUAGUAGCAGGCCUGCAAGCUACAUACUGAUCCUAGCUCCAGCCAAAUGCCCAGUCCCUGCUCUUCUCUCACCUGUGGAUUAUGAAGUUUUCAUGCAGGUACUGAAGGCCCUUGAGAACCUGGAGAACGAUACACUUCACCUGCAAUGGGAUGGAUCAAAUGAACAGGGCAUUGUUAAGGAGCCAUCUCUCUUGUGUAAAACACACACUACUUUGUCUUGUGCCAAAUUCUGCUCUGGGGUUCAAAGAUCCACAGAAAGGCAGCACAAGAAUUGAAAGGAUUAGUCCUACUGAACUGACCUAAAGCAUACUUUACCUUAUGGGCCAAUGGUCAGUCUCAAUUUACAGCAGCUUCCUAUGAUAUGGAUGAUGCCCAAACACCUCAGCCCAAAUUAACCAACCAGGCUACUCCCUCUCUAUUUGAACACCUACAUACUUUGAUUCUUUUGUUCAUGCUUUGCUUUUAAAAAGUGCCUUCUUGCCUAUCUUCCGUCUCAAAUUUGGUUACAACCAUGCCUUGGGUUCAACUUUCUGCAGCUUUUUAUGACAUCUCUUUCAUUCUGAUGAAGACAGUGAUCCGAACAAUCAACAUAAGGCUGCUACUUUCCCCAUCUCACCUGAGCUUCAGAGAAGGGAGCCUGCAUGUUCUCCAGGAGGCUGGCGAGGUCCUGCUCACAGUAACCCAUCACAAGGAAAAUGCUGCAGGACAAACACACGUUUUAUUUUCUGUAGUUGGAGAUAUAUCUACCCAAGAGGCCAGAGCUGAAUAGAAAGAAGUGGCUUAAAAUACAGGCUCUUGAGUGCUUGAGUCAUAUUCUGGAGGUCACAAUGCCUUGGAAACUAUGCUUUGCUUUCAGAAACAAAGCAAACCUCACCCCCUAUCCACAGCUUCUUUUAUUCCUGCUAACCUCCAUCCUGCUUUGUCUGCAAAGGUUUGUGUUUUUAAAGUUUGUAUUUUUGUAUUUUUAAA